rnacentral:rRNA from 1 species
CAGUCAGAGCGGACAGAUGGGAGCUUGCUCCCUGAUGUUAGCGGCGGACGGGUGAGUAACACGUGGGUAACCUGCCUGUAAGACUGGGAUAACUCCGGGAAACCGGGGCUAAUACCGGAUGCUUGUUUGAACCGCAUGGUUCAAACAUAAAAGGUGGCUUCGGCUACCACUUACAGAUGGACCCGCGGCGCAUUAGCUAGUUGGUGAGGUAAUGGCUCACCAAGGCAACGAUGCGUAGCCGACCUGAGAGGGUGAUCGGCCACACUGGGACUGAGACACGGCCCAGACUCCUACGGGAGGCAGCAGUAGGGAAUCUUCCGCAAUGGACGAAAGUCUGACGGAGCAACGCCGCGUGAGUGAUGAAGGUUUUCGGAUCGUAAAGCUCUGUUGUUAGGGAAGAACAAGUACCGUUCGAAUAGGGCGGUACCUUGACGGUACCUAACCAGAAAGCCACGGCUAACUACGUGCCAGCAGCCGCGGUAAUACGUAGGUGGCAAGCGUUGUCCGGAAUUAUUGGGCGUAAAGGGCUCGCAGGCGGUUUCUUAAGUCUGAUGUGAAAGCCCCCGGCUCAACCGGGGAGGGUCAUUGGAAACUGGGGAACUUGAGUGCAGAAGAGGAGAGUGGAAUUCCACGUGUAGCGGUGAAAUGCGUAGAGAUGUGGAGGAACACCAGUGGCGAAGCGACUCUCUGGUCUGUAACUGACGCUGAGGAGCGAAAGCGUGGGGAGCGAACAGAUUAGAUACCCUGGUA